UAGGUUUGUGUGCCAGCAGCCGCGGUAAUACGUAGGUGGCAAGCGUUAUCCGGAAUUACUGGGUGUAAAGGGAGCGCAGGCGGGAUAGCAAGUCAGCUGUGAAAACUAUGGGCUCAACCCAUAAACUGCAGUUGAAACUGUUAUUCUUGAGUGGAGUAGAGGCAAGCGGAAUUCCGAGUGUAGCGGUGAAAUGCGUAGAUAUUCGGAGGAACACCAGUGGCGAAGGCGGCUUGCUGGGCUCUAACUGACGCUGAGGCUCGAAAGUGUGGGGAGCAAACAGG
rnacentral:rRNA from 1 species